AUUGAACGCUGGCGGCAGGCUUAACACAUGCAAGUCGAGCGGAGAUGAGGUGCUUGCACCUUAUCUUAGCGGCGGACGGGUGAGUAAUGCUUAGGAAUCUGCCUAUUAGUGGGGGACAACAUUCCGAAAGGAAUGCUAAUACCGCAUACGUCCUACGGGAGAAAGCAGGGGAUCUUCGGACCUUGCGCUAAUAGAUGAGCCUAAGUCGGAUUAGCUAGUUGGUGGGGUAAAGGCCUACCAAGGCGACGAUCUGUAGCGGGUCUGAGAGGAUGAUCCGCCACACUGGGACUGAGACACGGCCCAGACUCCUACGGGAGGCAGAAGUGGGGAAUAUUGGACAAUGGGGGGAACCCUGAUCCAGCCAUGCCGCGUGUGUGAAGAAGGCCUUAUGGUUGUAAAGCACUUUAAGCGAGGAGGAGGCUACUGAGACUAAUACUCUUGGAUAGUGGACGUUACUCGCAGAAUAAGCACCGGCUGACUCUGUGCCAGCCGCCGCAGUAACAC
rnacentral:rRNA from 1 species